GUGUGCGUAGUGGGCGCCGGUUGGCCCGUGCAUCGAUGAGGUGGGGGAGGGCGGUUGGCUUGCCCUUUCAUGCUUCCUUUCGCCCCUUUCUCUCUCAACUCCUUCUCCUCUUACCGCCGACCAGCCGACGCCUAUCCUCACGCUGCCGUCAUCUCCGCCAACGGGGAGACGCUGCUGGGAACCCUGGAUGUCCUGUGGACGGUUGGAGUUGGUGCCCCUCCGUCAUCAAGCUCGAUCCACUCUCCCUAUUAGAUCCUCCUGUACCUAACCUAACCACUCACAGGAAGGAGAAGAGGGCAUGGUGGUCAUGGGGAGAGGAAUAUGAGGCCAUGGGGAGGAAGAAGAUGGCCCCCUGGUUCUAGAGGUUGGUCUUCGCGUCAACUGUGAUGGAUUCGCCAUGCGACGCUGAUGAAGGGUCCCUUGUUCUUGUCGUUGAUGCGUUGGAUCUAAUGGUCCAUUCACCAAUUUGUGCUAGACAUUUAUUUUGCCCCGUUCAUGGUCAUUCCCUACAACUUAAGCUGAGUUUGACUUUGAUUUUGCUGUGGAUUGAUCCAUCGGGUGCAAGUGCUCGUUCUGCUCGUCAGUUCCUCGCUCGAUCUGUGCCAGCCUGAUGCGUCUUCAUCCAGGGAUCUACAGGACUGGAUACUAUUGUUUUUCCUACUCCCCGCUUUGGUCGUGAUUAAUGACAAUGAUAUCUUCUCUACAAUUCUGCAAAUUGUUGGAUUUUAGAGGUGAGGGCUUCCACAUGCCCAGAUCCUUGUCUGGUUGAAAGAGGAUGGUCAAAAGAUUGGUACAGAUGUUACUUCUCUUUUUCAUUUCUGUAGAAAUUACAGACCAUGUUCUUUAUCCUUUAGGUUAUUCCAUGUUUUCUACAUUUUUUCCGUGAUAGAGGCGAAGGUGUCCCGAUGUUUCGAUGAGAUA